rnacentral:rRNA from 1 species
CAGCAGCCACGGUAAUGCGAAGGGUGCAAGCGUUAAUCGGAAUUACUGGGCGUAAAGUGCACGCAGGCGGUCUGUCAAGUCAGAUGUGAAAUCCCCGGGCUUAACCUGGGAACUGCAUUUGAAACUGGCAGGCUAGAGUCUUGUAGAGGGGGGUAGAAUUCCAGGUGUAGCGGUGAAAUGCGUAGAGAUCUGGAGGAAUACCGGUGGCGAAGGCGGCCCCCUGGACAAAGACUGACGCUCAGGUGCGAAAGCGUGGGGAGCAAACAGGAUUAGAUACCCCAGUAGUCCCUGUCUCUUAUAC